GACGUAGGGCGCGAGCGUUGUCCGGAUUUAUUGGGCGUAAAGAGCUCGUAGGCGGCUUGUCGCGUCGAAUGUGAAAACCCGAGGCUCAACUUCGGGCUUGCAUUCGAUACGGGCAGGCUGGAGUUCGGUAGGGGAGACUGGAAUUCCUGGUGUAGCGGUGAAAUGCGCAGAGUAUCAGGAAGAACACCCGUGGCGAAGGCGGCUCUCUGGGACGGUACUGACGCUGAUGCACGAAAGCUAGGGGAGCAAACAGG
rnacentral:rRNA from 1 species